rnacentral:lncRNA from 1 species
AUCAACCUGCUCGUCGAAGGAGUGGGUGAUGGGGAGGGGAACAUGUGUCUGUGCCCGACACAUUUGGCGUGUCAAACAUUCAUAAACAUAAUGAAACAGGGCAUAGGCCGAACCACGCCCACGUCCUAGGCAACAUCAAAAUGUCAAACAACUCAUUUCAAUAGAAAACAUCGCGUAAAAGAAAUUCACGAAAGGCAUCCUAGUACCAUAGCCCUCUUGAGUUUUUACAUGGAACGAGGAUCCCACAGUAGUAUUGUACGUCUGAAUUUUUGGUACAGGUCAUCAGGGGAGAAAAGGACAACUUUUCAAUUGAGCGUUGCAAUCCGAUCUUCGGUUUCAUGGCUCAGAAACCAAUACCUCCAAACAAAAAGCAGACAAUAAGAGUGGAUACAUUCGUACUUUUUGCAGUUCAUAUAACACUGCAGAGUGCGCCUAAGGCUGAGCGAGUAGAAGAAAUUGGCGGGUGAAUGUGAUUUCUGAAGCCCAGGUGGAGUGGAAGUUUCCCACGGAAUUUGCUACCGGAACAGCUCCAAGACCUGUGUCCUCCAAGCAUCUGAUUUGAUGAGUACCCGACCAGCACCAGCACACAUAAACACGUACGAUUUAUGUGUCUGUAGAUCCGUAAGAUAAACCACCGAAAAAGGAAUACCAGCAUCAGCGUUAGAAGUACCGAAGAAAUAACUUGUCAACAAUAGGGAAUAGAGGAACACAUGGAAACUACCAUUCCUCCUGUCUAAAAAUCAUCAUAAUGGGUCUCUAUUGGCAAAACAACAUGAGACUCUUUGUCGUCCCGUGUCUCUGGUUUGGCUUUGGCAGGCCAAUCAAAAUAAGAAACUUUCAACAAUACUCUUUUCAAAGGUUAAAGGUUAACUACUGCAGUGGAAUGGUAUAUAUGGUCACAACAUGUCAUUCUUCAUUGUUUUAGAAUUUUGGCAUAACUUGGGCAAAGGCUGAGCGCACAGACAUACAGACCAUGCAACUUAAGCUGCUUCUCUGACCGGCAUGUUCACAAUAUCAGGGGAGGAGUACCUAAAAUAAAUUGCACGCCUAGCCAUUAGAGGAAAAUAAUUUGAGAAGCCAAAGAAAGGUGAGAUCCUGUAGAGCUGGAGGAGGAUAUGGAUUCAACUAAGCACAUGGUUACCAGUUAUUUAAGUACUUGUAGUACCACUUCAAACAAGAAGUAUGCACUAUAUGUCUGACAUGGUAACCAGGGGUCAACAGCAAGUGUUGCACGGGUGCAGCGAGGGAAAGAAAUAAACAUAACUCACCAAUUCUGUCAAACUCCCUAGUUAAAGCGUUGCUGCACAUCCUCAGUUGGCUUGCAGCAACACCUAUGCCUUCUUGGAGAUUAGUCUGGGCACAUUGUCAACAUGUAAUGCAGGAUAGCAGCCUCCUUCAACUUGAUUCCAUUACAGGAAAAAUAAAAAAGAUGACUAAAAAUGCAGUAAAAUUUGUUUUAAACUUCCUAAGUGAACAAAAAAUAGAAAGGAAAACUGCACAAGCUCAGAUAUCUGCUAUCUUACUUUGCAGUUUCCAAUUUUUCAUGUAACUAUGCCAUCAAUGAGCAUCAUUCAGACACACAUGCUCCCGGACCCUGACAGCUGAUUUCCCACAAACACAAGUAAUUUGGCUCCCAGAAAAAAAUGGAAGUAAUUUGGCUUCUAGUAGCAUCCGCACCCUCAUUAC